rnacentral:sRNA from 1 species
AGUCGGGCAAGAUGUCGGCCUGCAAUCUCCAGGCCGCCUGAACGGGUCUCGUGCUUUCCUUUGACCACGGAUGUACUGGCACUGCCGGAAGCACGCCAACCACGCAAGGCCAGGCAAAUCGCCUGGCCUUUUGUUUU